ensembl:lncRNA
CUGGGUUGUCCAGCCUGGGUGGAGGGACUCCCGAGGCCUGGUGAUGGAUGCUGUAGUCAGCAGUGCAUAUUGGAUCUGUUACACGGUGGUGAUAUACGAUUUCAACAUUUCAGGGUUGAUUUGGAGUUUCUGUACUCCCUGCCUGGAAUUUUCCUGCUGUGUUGUUUUGCACUUUACUGUUCAACAAGAGGAAAAUAAAUCUAGAAACCUGCUUAAAAAUAGACAUCCUGUGUUUGAUUCUGUAUCAUUAAAAGAUCUUAAAAGCUAGAAUUUAAUUCUCUUCCCGGCAGAAGGAAGGAGUUGCGCUAAGGUCCCUUCUUAGAAAUUAGCUGUAGAAAUUCUGAAAUUCUAGCUAACAAAUCACAGCCUUCACUGGCCUCACAUCCCUUACAUUUUCCUGUCCGACAGCCCCGAGGGCUCGUUGUCUGUGGGUUUUCAUCUGGGUCGUUGCUGUCCCCCAGGGUUGAUUGAUCUGUUUAUUCUAAGCUUGAGGCCAGAGCUGGAAGGGAGGCCGUUUGUUUUGGGCACUGCUGAGAAAAACAGACUAAUCACCUAAAUACCACCUUGGGGAAUGAAGUUACUUGAAAAGAAACUGAAUGGAGCCUGGGCUUUUGUUUGGAAUGAGGAGGCAGACCUGGGAAGCUGCAUGCAGCCAAAUGAUGAUGACAAACGUAAGGCUACUGAGUGCCUCUGGCUUGGCCACCAAAGAGAAUUGGUUUCUGUAAGCCUCAGAGAGGGAAAACCUGCAUUCCAGAGCUGCAGCCCUCUCUGCACAUUUCUGGUCACUCUGCCCCAGCUCCUCCACAGCCUGGUGCUGGACCAAGGGGCCUGGGCAGAGGUGGGUGUGCUGGGCAGGAGAGGACGUCAUGGAUGGCUCAGGUGUUGCCUUCCUUCCCAGCAACUUGCAGAUUUUCAGAUGCGCCGAGUUAAGGUCUAAAACAAGAAAAGUUUGCUAACGUGGAGUGGCCGCUGGGUCUUAUCUUUCUGUCUUCAGUGGCCCUGAAGAAUAUCGGGCACACGUGGGGAUUUCACACUUUUAACAAGCUAAUGUCUCUAACACUACAGGUUACACUUCGCCUGAUUUCCAGGUCAGUGCAGCGCCUGACCGCUCUCCAGAGGCACCCUCAUUUAGAAGCAUAGAUGAUGCGAGAACAUGGUUUCUCUUCUCGGUUCAGAUUGCCUCGGUUGCAAGGACUAAGAACUCUGAGGAGAUCUAGGAGAUCCCUAAGUAUAUUAGGUUUUAAGUCAAGUCAAUGCGGCAAAUGUUUAUUAAGUACACGCAACAGACAGAGCGCUGUGAGACAAGACAAAUCAAUUAGUCAACAUCAACGCUUGUCAUUGCUUGGGGGGUAAAGGCAAUACAAGGAAUGACUGGCAAAUACAGGUGUGAAUUCCACUUACCCUCAGCAAGAAGAGGGAAGAAGAUUCUGGAAAGGGAGGAAGGGAGAAUUCUGCCAGCACCAACCUGAUCAUCCUUCUUGGCAUGGCCAAACGCCUCCAUUGUUCCUCUAAGGGGCUUCUUUGCCCUGAGAAGUAUACAAGUUGAUAGGGCUACUUGCCUUCUUGCUCAUUAAUAUCUGCUUGGCUCCUGAUCUGCAGAUAGAGCAGUGCUGGAAUUAUCCCAUCCAGUGUUGUGACCUCUGGAUGCUAGCCUUUCCAAGCAGGGACUUUGCUGUGACUCCCUAAGUUCAUAGGGAAAGCAGCAAGGAUGAGUUUGGGAGACUCUGGCAUGUGCAUCAGAGUUCCAGGGUGAAAGGUGGCUCUGAAAACUCUGCAAACUGUACAUAACUCAAUUCCCCAGGCUGCUGUGUGUCUGUCAUCCCUGAAAUUUCACGAGGCCAGAGUAGGUCAACAUGGGCUAAUGAGACAAGAUCUAACUAAACAGAGUGAAGAGUUUCUCAAUAACAAGGGAAACUUUUACUGUUUGAGAUCAGCCUGAGCCAAGAUUGAUGAGAGAAAAAAAAAAAAA